rnacentral:rRNA from 1 species
ACUCCUGCGGGAGGCAGCAGUGGGGAAUUUUGGACAAUGGGCGAAAGCCUGAUCCAGCAAUGCCGCGUGAGUGAAGAAGGCCUUCGGGUUGUAAAGCUCUUUUGUCAGGGAAGAAACGGUGAGAGCUAAUAUCUCUUGCUAAUGACGGUACCUGAAGAAUAAGCACCGGCUAACUACGUGCCAGCAGCCGCGGUAAUACGUAGGGUGCAAGCGUUAAUCGGAAUUACUGGGCGUAAAGCGUGCGCAGGCGGUUUUGUAAGUCUGAUGUGAAAUCCCCGGGCUCAACCUGGGAAUUGCAUUGGAGACUGCAAGGCUAGAAUCUGGCAGAGGGGGGUAGAAUUCCACGUGUAGCAGUGAAAUGCGUAGAUAUGUGGAGGAACACCGAUGGCGAAGGCAGCCCCCUGGGUCAAGAUUGACGCUCAUGCACGAAAGCGUGGGGAGCAAACAGGAUUAGAAACCCCUGUAGUCCC